rnacentral:misc_RNA from 1 species
AAUCACUCACUCGAUGGAACUCACAUUCUUUCGAGUGGAUUUGGGUGUUGCUGGCGACGACGUCGGCUCACCUCGAAAUGCAGUAGUGGUGCAGAGGCCACAGACCAAUUGGUGUGAUACUUGAUGUCUCGCCUCUGGUUGAGUGCCUUGCGAUGCAUUGCUCAUAACCAAAAUCUUACUUUUUAAA